UUCCAUUUGCAUCUCUAUUUCCAAACCUCUCCACAUGGCUAGCAAAGUGUUGAAGAGGGGAAGAAAUUAUGGUUUGCGUGGAGCAAUGAAUAGAGAUUCGGGUACGUAA